UUGCAAGCAUAGGAACACUUAAACAGGUUGAAUUGGUGGGGUGCAAUUAUGUUGCUGUUGAUUGCGUUGAGAAGAUGAGAGAAGAACGGAGGGACAGUGGAAAGGACCUGCCACUUGGCGUCUAUUCUUCAUGGGGAAAAGAAUCUUCGCCACACGGUAUGCAAACAUGGGCUCCUAACUAUUUUAGUAGUGACUGAUGAUAUUAGGCUAAAUGCUUUGGCAUUUCACUCAUUGAUCAUAUUUUUACCACAGAUUGCUGACAGAGGGGACUUGGUGGUAUGACUGGGACGUUUUGUUAUCAGACUUUGAGUGUAAGGCGUCAUGGCUUAAAACCUUGCACAGUUGCACCUUUUUUUUCUCUCGUUUUCUUUUGAGCGUAGAAACUGAAUGUGCACUUUAAUUUGAAGUUUGUAUCCUAUUAUGUGUUUCCUGAAAACCAGACUUCGUGUGAUCGGUCGAUUAAUCGUACGAAACAAACCAACAAACAAACUGUAAAUGUUUCAUACUAAUAUUGAAAACUAAGAUGCCUAUCUCGUGAACCAUAAACAAUAUUUAUGCC
rnacentral:lncRNA from 1 species